UGAAUAAAGCUUCGCGAGAUUGCCUCAAAGAAAAAAAAAAGUAAAAGUUGAGGUGGCGGCGGCAGCACGCCCUCGACACCCUUCCCUCCGGUCGACUCCAUCCGUCCGCCGCCGCCGCACCCCAGCGUAAUGCCCGGCGAAGUUGUCCCUUGAGGUGACGCUAGCUAGGCUACGGCCGGAGCUGGCUGAGACAAUGGAAGAUGCGGGCAUGGAGUUCCUCCUCGACGCUGUUGACAGGUUUCCCCUGCUUGAGGAAUUCACGGACAGCCAUGAGCAGCCGGAUCCGGCUCCUCUGGUUUUGUUAGCGAAUGGAGGAGCAGGAGCGAGCGGUCCAGGCUUAUUCCAGUGCUAGCUCUGAAUGUGGUCAGCAGGUUGGCGGCGACUGCAACGAUGCUGCUCGCGCUGGGGUUCACCGACGGCACAAGUCGUCCCCGGCGAGGUCCACGCAAUCUACUUACAGAAUCAAUCCCCAGGCCCCUGGAUGGACAAAAAUGUUAAGACUGGGUAGUGCGCCACCAGACCGGAGUCCGUGUCCACCUCGAAUGAGUGCUUUGGAGCAGUCAAUUCGGAAAUACACGGAGAAACCAACAAAAAGUGUAAUAAGACCUGAACUAGGAUUGAGUUUUGAUUCGUUGGGCGAAGCAUACAGCUUUUACAAUCUGUAUUCGUGGGAAAUUGGCUUUGGUAUUAGAUAUGGCAAGAGCCGGUUGAAUGCAGAGAGAACUAAAUGCAUGCAGGAGAUCGUCUGCGGUUGUUCGGGAAAGCCAGAGAUGGAGAAUAGCAGGUCGUGCAGGUGCGAGUGUCCAGCCUUGAUUAGAUUGCUACGCGUUGCGGAUAACAGUUGGUAUAUUACUGAGCACCGUGAAAGCCACAACCACUCCAUGUCACCGACGAUGGGCGAGAAGGUGCACUGGCCCUCACACAAGCACACACUAAGGAUUUGAUAAAAGCAGAUGAGGGAGAAUAAUGUGAAUCUUGGUAAGGUGUGCAGCAUAAUUUGCAGCUAUUUCGGAUCAGUCGAGAAGCAUUUACAAAAAGGACUCCAAGGAACAUUUGCAGGGAGAUAAGCCGUGAGCAGGCGGAGGAUGAUGUCCAGAAGACUUUGGAGGUGUUUGCGGACAUUGUUAAUGGUGACCCCGGUUUUACAUACAAAGUUCCGGCAAAAAAUAGGUAGUAAAGUGAAGAACGUCAUGUGAACAAAUGUGAGCAGCAGAAUGCAGUACAGGUUCUUUGGGAUGCCGUAACUUUCGACACCACUUACAGGAAGCCUGUACGACAUGCCUUCUGGACUAUUUGUUGGGAUGAACAAUCAUUUUCAGAGUAUAAUUCUUGAUGGUGUCUUGAUGAGGGACGGAUAAGAAGAGAGUUUCGAAUGGGUGUUCUUGCAGUUCAUGCAGAUGAUGGGAGGACCUUCUCCAAGGACUAUUCUGAUAGACCAAAACCGAGCCAUGGAAUUGGCCAUAAAGAAGGUUUAUCCAGGCACGGUGCACAGGUGGUGCAAAUGGCAUGUCCUGAAGAAAGCAAAGGAGAUGUUAGGGCUGUUGCAUACGAAGAAAUCUGAUUUUCAAGCUGAGUUCCACAAGGUUGUGAACUACAUGUUAACCAUAGAUGAGUUCGAGGCAGGGGUAUUUUGUUAUAUAAACACAAUUUGAGGAACCAUACAUACAUGACGCAGUUGUAUGAGAUUAGAGAAAAGUGGGGAAGUCGUACUUCGAGGGGGUUUUCUGCGCCAAGAUGAUGAGCACUCAACGCAGCGAAAGUGUGAAUCACAUGCUGAAGACCUACAUGCCACCAGCGAGUCCAAUGCACGUUUCUGUGAGGCAAUACAUGAGGCUGUAGUUUGAUCGAGAGCGAGAGGAUAGCUAUGAGGAGAAGAGGACAAUGAUAGGUGGAGCAGUGAGGAGAACUAAUUUGGCGAUAGAGCGGUAUGCAAGUAGGAUAUACACAAGAGCGAUGUACGAAGAGUUUAGGCGCCUAGUAACCGAAGCUACUGCCUAUAAUGUCACCGAAAAUAGAGAAGAUGAGGAAAUAUCUUGCAGUCCACAACAAUGCAGCCAAGAGAGAAAAAUGGAGCAGAUUGAGUAUGAAGUGAACAUAAAUGAUGACCAAUGACAGUUUACAUGUGAAUGUGGUCAGUUCGAGCACACUGGGAUGUUGUGCAGCCAUGUUCCGAGGGUGAUGGAAAUACUUCAUCUCGAAGAGAUCCCCGCUAAGCAUAUAGUGAAGCGGUGCACAAAGGACGCGAGGGACAUACUGUCGCAACACCGGGCUCAGUAUCAGAGAGACAACUCAGCUAACAUGUCCUUUACCUGUAGACACUCGAAGCUGUACCUGAAAGCCAUGGAGGUGGUGAGGAUGGAUGAUGCGAGUGCGACAGCGUACGAUCACCUAUAUGAAGGUUUGGACGCCCUGCUGGUGAGUGGUGCACCUUUGGCCGAGAAGAGGGUCGGCUUGGGUCUCCACGACCGAAUGGCCGGCUUAACUCCUGGUACAUUGCUUGGCAAUGAUGAGAUAGCAUAUCUGGGUGGCGACGGUGCUGAAAAAUGCAUCAGUACUGGAAACUCUGUUAAUGUGAAUGGUCUGCACGGUCUAAAAGCACCGGAUAAGCAGAGGGGAGUUGGAAGACCAACAAAUAGUCGAGAAAAGGCAUCGUAGGAGGGACUCAGUAGGCGAAAGUACUGGAAACUCUGUUAAUGUGAAUGGUCUGCACGGUCUAAAAGCACCGGAUAAGCAGAGGGGAGUUGGAAGACCAACAAAUAGUCGAGAAAAGGCAUCGCACCGGAUAAGCAGAUGCGAAGGGCACAAACAAACUAUAUGCCCUGAGAGACGGGAUGCCCUGAAGAAACCACGAAAGCCCGGUAGAUGCAAGAAUUGUGGUAUGGAAGGGCACCGGCGGACCACAUGCACAAGGCCUUUGGGUGUUACUGAGAAAUGAGGACUGAAUUUCGAGAGGAGCGAUGAUGACUUUGCUGAUGAAAAAAAAAACUUCUGCUUGUGUAAUAUGAAGUUUCCUUAAUUUAUGAAAUGGAACUGCUUUCUUGAACGUGUUGGUUGCU